AGCAGUCGCCACGGUAAUACGUACGUGGCAAGCGUUGUCCGGAAUUAUUGGGCGUAAAGGGCUCGCAGGCGGUUUCUUAAGUCUGAUGUGAAAGCCCCCGGCUCAACCGGGGAGGGUCAUUGGAAACUGGGAAACUUGAGUGCAGAAGAGGAGAGUGGAAUUCCACGUGUAGCGGUGAAAUGCGUAGAGAUGUGGAGGAACACCAGUGGCGAAGGCGACUCUCUGGUCUGUAACUGACGCUGAGGAGCGAAAGCGUGUGGAGCGAACAGGAUUAGAUACCCGAGUAGUCCCUGUCUCUUAUAA
rnacentral:rRNA from 1 species